ACAACCAAAAGCGAAUGUGAGGCUGUGAGCUACCGUUCCCUGAGAGCCAGCCAAUGGCGGGAACUGUUCAAACCCUAACCAAUCUCCUUAAUCCAGUCACCGGAACCCUUCAUCUCCGAUCUCUCAACUCAAAAUCUAACAAACACUCCUUCAAUGUCAUCAAUAACUCGUUGAUACUCACGAAGGCUCGUUCGAUUACACCAACACUCAUCAUUAGAAACCACACCAAUUCCGAUCAGAUUCACGGAAAUGGCGGUGCAGAUCUACCUGCUCGAAAAUCUGGUAUUUUGAGGUUUUCAGUUGUGGUAGAACCUCUAUUCAGUUUCGCAUCUAACAAUUUUCUUCCGCUAGCUCUUGUUGGAGGAGUAGCAUUGGGCCUUGCAAAUCCGGUUCCUGGUUGUAUUGCUCAUAGAUAUCAGUUAUCUAAAGUUAGCGCUUUUGGGAUAUUUAUCAUAUCAGGCAAGAAGCUAAGAGUAUUAGCUAGUAGCUACUGCUAGCUUUACUCUUAAUCAGCUUAUUCUCUGCCUUUUCAUGAUACAGGAUUGACGCUUCGUAGCGAGGAUAUUAGUGCAGCUGCAGAAGCUUGGCCCGUUGGACUCUUCGGGCUAGUCUCUAUUUUAUUGUUGACUCCCAACCUUUCCAGAAUUAUCCUGCAACUUCAUCUCCAACCUCAAGAAUUUGUUACGGGCCUCGCUCUUUUUAGCUGUAUGCCUACAACAUUAUCAAGUGGAGUUGCUCUAACCCGGCUUGCUGGAGGAAAUGCUGCAUUGGCUCUUGCAAUGACCGUAACAUCUAGUUUGUUAGCUAUUAUUAUUCUGCCGUUUUCCAUAUCGAAUCUGAUAGCUUGUGGACUAGGGGCAACUGUCCCAACUGGAAAAUUGUUCAGACGACUUAUCUUCACACUUUUGAUACCUUUGAUUUUGGGAAAGGUAAUAAUACCUUUUGUUGCCACUUUGAGGGACCGCAUCAAAUAUCACAAAUUCUUAAUCAUGCAGUGGAAGUAUCAUGCCCUUUUCUUGUAGAAAGGUUUAAAAAAGUAAUUUUUGGUUUCUUGACAGGCUUUUCGGGAAUCCUUUAAAGGUUUGGCAGAUUUUGCUGACAAUAACCGUAAGCUCUUAUCCGUGCUGAGUGUAUUAUUACUCAGUUUGGUCCCAUGGAUACAGGUAAGCAGAUCAAGGCCCCUGCUUCUAAUGGUUAAACCUGCAGCUUUUCUUGUAGUUGUCAUCAUGGGAAUACUUCUUCACGUCAUACUAUUAGGUUUCAAUGCAAUAUCAAUACGGUGCCUGUGUGCGCUAUCUGGUGGUAGCAAAUCGAUUUUUGCAAAGAAGGAAAAUUCCACUGCCCUGUUACUAGUUGCUAGUCAGAAAGCAUUACCGGUGCUGGUUGCAGUGGUGGAUCAACUAGGUUGUACGUUUGGCGAAUCGGGUUUACUCAUCAUUCCCUGUAUUGCAGCACAUUUAAACCAGAUCAUAAUGGGCUCUAUUCUCGUAAGCUAUUGGAACAAAAACGAAGACUCCCUUGACAAUACGAAGGCUGCAUAAGACCUAAGUGAUCAAAGAUGCAACCAAGAUUUUUUUUUUUUUUUUUUUUUUUCAGUCGGGAUGGUGUUCUUCAUAUUCGACUCACGUGAUCAUAACAGUAACUUACAUGUCAUUACCCAUUACCUAUUUUUCAUGCUUUCUGGUAA